rnacentral:rRNA from 1 species
UACGUAGGGUGCAAGCGUUGUCCGGAAUUAUUGGGCGUAAAGAGCUUGUAGGCGGUUUGUCGCGUCUGCUGUGAAAUUUCGGGGCUCAACCCCGAACUUGCAGUGGGUACGGGCAGACUAGAGUGUGGUAGGGGAGACUGGAAUUCCUGGUGUAGCGGUGAAAUGCGCAGAUAUCAGGAGGAACACCGAUGGCGAAGGCGGUCUGCUGGGGUAAUGCUGACACUGAUGCGCGACAGCGUGGGGAGCAAACAGG